AUGGAGGCUGCCGUCAUUCUUCUGGAUCCUGAGCAUCACGUCGACGAAGUCUUUUUCCUCGUCGCCGGCGUGCUGGUGCUUGUCGAUGAUUCGGUCCAUGACCCGGCUCCCGAACCCGGUGGCCAGCCUGACGCCCUCGCCGAGGCGCUCCAGGAAUUCGCCGCGGAGGUCGUCCCCGAUUCGGUCGCCCACCAGGGCGCGCACCGCCACGUCGAUGAUGUAGGUGGAGAGGAGGGAGCUGACGUUCACAGGCCCCGACGCCGAGGCGAUGGAGGCGACGAGGGCGGCAACGCCGGCCUCGCGGGAUCCGCGGAGGGACUGGACCGGCCGCGCGCCGAGGAGCUCGGUGACGCCGAGCUUGCGGGCGUGCCGCCAGUGCUCUCCGUGCGGCGCCAGGGCGAUGCCGGCGCCGUCCACCGUGAGCGCGCGGAUGGUGGGCGUCUGCAUGCGGGUGGCGAAGACCGCGUCCUGGGUCUUGAGGAUCUCCCUCGCCGCGUCAGCGGAGGAGGCCACGACGACGUCGAGCUCCCCCAGGCGGAGCAGUAUGAGCGGGGCGUCGUACCGGCGGGCGAGGUCGCGCAUGAAGCGGUGCGGCAGCCUGCCGACCAGGUGGUGCAGGCUGCCGAUGACCGGCAGCCGCCAUGGCCCCGGAGGAAGGUUCUCCCCGCGCGGCCGCCUGAGCCUCUUGAGGAGGAGGAGAGGGAGUAG
rnacentral:rRNA from 1 species